rnacentral:tRNA from 1 species
CGUUCUCCCAGGCGGCGGCCAGCUGGUCGACCUUCGGCGUCGACCCCGAGAUCCGGCCGAUCUCCUCGGCGAGGAGGGCC